rnacentral:rRNA from 1 species
UACGUAGGGGGCAAGCGUUGUCCGGAUUUAUUGGGCGUAAAGAGCGUGUAGGCGGCUUUACAGGUCCGUUGUGAAAACUCGAGGCUCAACCUCGAGACGCCGGUGGAAACCGUAAAGCUAGAGUCCGGAAGAGGAGAGUGGAAUUCCUGGUGUAGCGGUGAAAUGCGUAGAUAUCGGGAGGAACACCAGUGGCGAAGGCGACUUCCUGGCCUGUUCUUGACGCUGAGGCGCGAAAGCUAGGGUAGCAAACGGG